AGGAGGUAUCUUGAGAUGGGGUUGAACGAUGAGGCGGUGGUGAUGUUCUUCAAGAUGCUAGAGUUGAAUGUUCGACCUUUGAAUCAUACAGUCUCUAGUGUGGUUUUAGCUUGUUCAAGAUCACUAACCCUCGAGGUGGGAAUGGUGAUCCACGCCAUUGCUCUCAAACUCAAAUUCUUGCCAGACACGAUUGUUUCCACUUCGAUCUUCGAUAUGUAUGUAAAAUGCGGGAGGCUGGAGAGUGCUCGUAAAGUGUUUGAUCAAACCGAGUCUAAAGACUUGAAGUUAUAACUCGGUCAAUAAAUCAGAUGACGCCAAAGACCCACAAGCUCACUUUUGAAAAUAUUCAAACAAAGUAUAUCAUCAGAAAAUAAAUAAAGAGUUGAAGAAGCAAACCUUAUGCUAGAGAAUAGCUCUGUUUUGUCAGUGAACCAGUCAGGUAUGUCUCUAACGAUUCGGACAUCAUCUUUCAAGUAAUCAAUAAAAUGAUCUACAUCAAAAAUGUCUUCAAAUUUCCUGCGUAAUAAAAGUUUAUUUUGUCAGCAAACUAAUUAAAAAAUAAAUAAUAGAGAGAGUGCUUGACUCAUAUUAUCUGAAUAAAAGCUUACGUUUGGUCUUUCCAAAUUUGAUCCUGCUUCAGUACUGGUAGAAUCAGAGUUGCAUUCAUAAUCUUGGCAACAGCAACUGCAUUACAGAUCUACAAAACAAAAAAGAAGAAGCCAUAACUCAUAUUGAUCCAUGAUAGGGUAGCAAAAGGAGACAAAAGAAUGGAAGAUAUACAUACAGCAAUCCGCUGCUGAUUCAAACCACCUUCAGCAUGAAUGAAAACAUAUCCAUUUGUUUCAUUCUCAGGAAGAACAUCUGAAAAAACAAAAAACAAAGUUAAAAGUGAGAUUUGCUACUAAGCUGACACAAAGACAAAACAAACCAUUCUCUAAUAUACCAGAGACUUCUCCACCAAUGCGCCGCUCAGCGCAAGGCUUCCAAGAAGAAAUUAGGAUAACAAGAAUAUUUGUGGAUAGAUAAGUAUUUUGUAAUAUUUUUUCAUAAAUAUCUUGUAUUCUUAAAUAAUUUUCUUAAAAACUGCUAUUUUUGGAAAGUUUUCAUUUUUUUGAGAAAUAUUGUAGAUUUGGGUUUGUGAUUUAGAAAUUAGGAUAACAAGAAUAUUUGUGGAUAGAUAAGUAUUCUGUAAUAUUUUUUCAUAAAUAUCUUGUAUUCUUAAAUAAUUUUCUUAAAAACUGCCCUCGGUAAGCGGGCCGUGGGAGCAUGGCGGGGGGUGCUAUCCCCUUUUGACUGAUAGAAAGCAUCUCUCUUUUGUCUCUCCUGACCAAACCCGCCAAAAAAAUCACAAAAAAAUCACAACAGAAUAAGGUGUUCUUGCCGGGAGAGUAGCGUCUGAGACAUCUUUAUCUGAGGCGUUCCUCGGCUUCGUCGUCCGGCUCAUCCUCGGAAUCCGAAAAUCAAACUGAGACAGAACGGAUUGUUUCAGUGACAUAUCUAAUCAGACUGAAUAGGAUUUGAAGAGCUGUCACCAUCAUUCAAUUCACAUCAAUUUAAGCAGGCGUUCCUCGGCGCGGAAGUUACCGUUUAUAGAAUGCAAGCAAGGUAGCUUGCCUGCCAAGCCGAUAGGCGAAACGGCGAACUGAUCGACUUGCAUGCAUGUGUUAAGCAUAUAGCUAGCGUUCCUUAGUCUCAAUCACAGACCUUUUUCCAUUUUAGGUGAACGAGGGUUACCGGCUCUACGACCUUGCAAGGCACUACAGUAGAGCUCGAGGAACGCCUGCCACUUUCUCAAUCGAAAAUGUCAACUGUGAAGAUUCUCGCGUUUCUUUAUGUAAUUUCAGGAUUUCUUUUCGUUGAUCGGAUCGAGCACAUAGUAAGAAACCCUAAGUCAAUUCAUUCUCUUUGGCUGAAGUCAAUCUUCAUCAAGAUGGCUUACCGGUAAUCUCCCAUUCCCGCCGUCGAGAGACUUUAAUAACUAUAGCAUGCCAGAAAAGGGGAGUUUAGGUGCUUAGACCUAUAGCCCGAAAUCUUCUCUUAUAAGCCGACAUAACAUAUUCAACCACGGAUUAAGUCGACAUAACAUCCUCACGUUCAGUCAGGGUUUUCCAAUUGGAUUACCUUGCCGGAAUUGGAUAGAAGUAGGGCUAGACGCGCCGGAGGAACCCCUUCUGCUCGAGCUCGCCUUAGGAAACUUUCCCCAAGGUUUCAAGAUCCAUCUUUCAGGUUCCUUUCAAGCUGUAAGGCUCGCUCUGUUCUCAAGGCUUGGUAGCUCUUCACAAAGUCCUCCUUUUUCCACGAGUUGGAACCGUGCCGACACAUUUUCAUAUCGUCCCCUUUGAAAACUGUUAUUUUUGGAAAGUUUUCAUUUUCUUGACAAAUAUUGUAGAUUUGGUUUAUGAUUAAGAAAUUAGGAUAACAAGAAUAUUUGUGGAUAGAUGAGUAUUCUUUAAGAAUUUUUUAGCAAUAUGUUGUAUUUUUAAAUAUAUUUUUUAAAAACUGCUAUUUAUGGAAAGUUUUCAUUUUCUUGAGAAAUAUUGUAGAUUUUGGUUUGUGAUUAAGAAAUUAGGAUAACAAGAAUAUUUGUGGAUAGAUGAGUAUUCUUUAAGAAUUUUCAGUAAUAUGUUGUAGUCUUAAAUAAUUUUCUUACAAACUGCUAUUUUUGAAAAGUUUUCAUUUCUUUUUUGAGAAAUAUUGUAGAUUUGAGUUUGCGAUUUAGAAAUUAGGAUAACAAGAAUAUUUGUAGAUUGAUGAGUAUUCUUUAAGAAUUUCUUAGCAAUAUUUUGUAUUUUUAAAUAAUUUUCUUAAAAACUACCAUUUAUGGAAAGUUUUCAUUUUCUUGAGAAAUAUUAUAAGAUAUUUAUGAAAAAUAUUUGUGGUUGUGAGGAGGUAUCUUGAGAUGGGGUUGAACGAUGAGGCGGUGGUGAUGUUCUUCAAGAUGCUAGAGUUGAAUGUUCGACCUUUGAAUCAUACAGUCUCUAGUGUGGUUUUAGCUUGUUCAAGAUCACUAACCCUCGAGGUGGGAAUGGUGAUCCACGCCAUUGCUCUCAAACUCAAAUUCUUGCCAGACACGAUUGUUUCCAC
rnacentral:lncRNA from 1 species